rnacentral:lncRNA from 1 species
UUUUAAGGGCUUCUGGCUGGAACCCUCAAGCUGGCUCUUGGCAUCCAGGCAGAUAUAUUGGAAUCCCGGGCCCUUCUGCUGGAUUCCACCGUCUUGAAACUUGAGUCAGGUAUAGACACUGUACCUGCCGACUGCUGUGGCAGAGCAGGUAACUGAGGUACAGAGUUUCUACAUGACAUGGUUCAUCUGGAAGUAGUAGUGGAUCCAUUUCACCUUACAUGCUGCUUGGGGCUGUGUCU